rfam:Paenibacillus sp. Soil522 contig_36, whole genome shotgun sequence.
GAAAGCCGUAUGCGGGAAAACUGCACGUACGGUUUGAUGAGGAGGGGCUGGAUCCCCAGCUCUUUACUCUAC